rnacentral:tRNA from 1 species
GGUUUGUGACUCAGUGGUAGAGCACUCGCCUAGCAUGCAUGAGGCACUGGGUUUGAUUCUCAGCACCG